UAGGGAAUAUUGCUCAAUGGGGGAAACCCUGAAGCAGCAACGCCGCGUGGAGGAUGAAGGUUUUCGGAUUGUAAACUCCUUUUGUGAGAGAAGAUAAUGACGGUAUCUCACGAAUAAGCACCGGCUAACUCCGUGCCAGCAGCCGCGGUAAUACGGAGGGUGCAAGCGUUACUCGGAAUCACUGGGCGUAAAGAGUGCGCAGGCGGAUUAAUAAGUCAGAUGUGAAAUCCUAUGGCUUAACCAUAGAACUGCAUUUGAAACUAUUAGUCUAGAGUGUGGGAGAGGUAGGUGGAAUUCUUGGUGUAGGGGUAAAUACCGUA
rnacentral:rRNA from 1 species